GUUUUAAAUGAAAGGCCGGACACUUCUAUGUCACAAAUAUAUGGUGCCAUUCACCUGCUAAGGCUAUUCGGCUUGGCAGCAUGUUGGCUUAUACCCCGCUGGACGAGACGAGUGUCCAGCUUCUGCUACAUCAUAUUCACGAUUUUCUCAAGUACAUGGCUAGGAACUCGCAGCUGUUCAGCCUGAAUGACUACACAAUAGCACCUCCCGACUACCAACGGAAAGCCAUCUGAAAAAUGUAAAUCUGUGCUACAGAAAUAAAAUCUACAAUCACUUUGUCAAA